AGUGAACGCUGGCGGUAGGCCUAACACAUGCAAGUCGAACGGCAGCACAGUAAGAGCUUGCUCUUACGGGUGGCGAGUGGCGGACGGGUGAGGAAUACAUCGGAAUCUACUUUUUCGUGGGGGAUAAUGUAGGGAAACUUACGCUAAUACCGCAUGCGACCUACGGGUGAAAGCAGGGGAUCUUCGGACCUUGCGCGAUUGAAUGAGCCGAUGUCGGAUUAGCUAGUUGGCGGGGUAAAGGCCCACCAAGGCGACGAUCCGUAGCUGGUCUGAGAGGAUGAUCAGCCACACUGGAACUGAGACACGGUCCAGACUCCUACGGGAGGCGGCAGUGGGGAAUAUUGGACAAUGGGCGCAAGCCUGAUCCAGCCAUACCGCGUGGGUGAAGAAGGCCUUCGGGUUGUAAAGCCCUUUUGUUGUGAAAGAAAAGCAGCAGGUUAAUACCCCGCUGUUCUGACGGUACCCAAAGAAUAAGCACCGGCUAACUUCGUG
rnacentral:rRNA from 1 species